UAAGGAAUAUUGGUCAAUGGACGCAAGUCUGAACCAGCCAUGCCGCGUGAAGGAUGAAGGUCCUCUGGAUUGUAAACUUCUUUAUCUGGGACGAAACCACCUUUUUCCAAGGGUGUUGACGGUACCAGAGGAAUAAGCACCGGCUAACUCCGUGCCAGCAGCCGCGGUAAUACGGAGGGUGCAAGCGUUAUCCGGAUUCACUGGGUUUAAAGGGUGCGUAGGAGGGCAGGUAAGUCAGUGGUGAAAUCCCCGUGCUUAACAUGGGAACUGCCGUUGAUACUAUCUGUCUUGAAUGCCGUGGAGGUGAGCGGAAUAUGUCAUGUAGCGGUGAAAUGCUUAGAUAUGACAUAGAACACCGAUUGCGAAGGCAGCUCGCUACACGAACAUUGACUCUGAGGCACGAAAGCGUGGGGAUCAAACAGGAUUAGAUACCCUGGUAGUCCACGCCCUAAACGAUGGAUACUCGACAUACGCGAUACACAGUGUGUGU
rnacentral:rRNA from 1 species